GGCCCUGUGGCGCAUUGGUAGCGCUUCUGACUCCAUAUCAGAAGGCUGGGUGUUCGAGUCACUCCGGGGUCA
rnacentral:tRNA from 1 species